GACGAACCGUGCGAACGUUAUUCGGAAUCACUGGGCUUAAAGCGCGUGUAGGCGGGACGGCACGUCGGUCGCUGAAAUCCCCCGGCUCAACCGGGGAACGGGCGCCGAUACGACCGCCCUGGAGGGACGUAGGGGGACCUGGAACUUCCGGUGGAGCGGUGAAAUGCGUUGAGAUCGGAAGGAACGCCCGUGGCGAAAGCGAGGUCCUGGACGUCUUCUGACGCUGAGACGCGAAAAGCCAGGGGGAGCCGAACGGG
rnacentral:rRNA from 1 species